rnacentral:rRNA from 1 species
ACUCAAAGGAAUUGACGGGGGCCCGCACAAGCAGUGGAGUAUGUGGUUUAAUUCGACGCAACGCGAAGAACCUUACCAGGGCUUGACAUAUACAGGAAUAUACUAGAGAUAGUAUAGCUCUUCGGAGCCUGUAUACAGGUGGUGCAUGGUUGUCGUCAGCUCGUGUCGUGAGAUGUUGGGUUAAGUCCCGCAACGAGCGCAACCCCUGUUUCUAGUUGCCAGCGAGUAAUGUCGGGAACUCUAGAGAGACUGCCGGUGUUAAAUCGGAGGAAGGUGGGGACGACGUCAAAUCAUCAUGCCCUUUAUGUCCUGGGCUACACACGUACUACAAUGGCUAUUACAAAGAGAAGCAAGACAGUGAUGUGGAGCAAAACUCAAAAAAAUAGUCUCAGUUCGGAUUGAAGGCUGAAAUUCGCCUUCAUGAAGCUGGAAUUGCUAGUAAUGGCAGGUCAGCAUACUGCCGUGAAUACGUUCCCGGGCCUUGCACACACCGCCCGU